AGCGGGGAGAGACUGAGAAGCUCCGUCCAUUCUUCCGUCGAUCUUCCUCCUCCGUCCUUUAACUUGUCGCCGGGGGGGGGGGGGGCGUAAGCAGCUUCCUCCAUCGCUGCUGCUGCAAAUUCUAAACGCAUCGCUGGGUUCCUCUUCUUCUUUCCGUGUUGCGCGUACUUCUCCGUUUUCCUUCUCUUGUUUGGCGUCGUCACUGAUUUGGGUGAGGGAGGGAAUUUCGAAGCCUUUAUCCCUCUCGUCUUUUGCUUCUUGGUCCCUAGGAGAAGAGGAACUGGUUAGUUAAAGUUGGAAGGGGGAAAUUUCAGAAUUUGGUGGCAUAUUAGACCAUAAAAAAGUAAUUUGCAAUUGAGACACCAAGAAAUUAUGGACAACAAGCAAGCUACAACAAAAAAGAAGUCUGGAUAUGACAACUUCAAGAAAGAGUUUCUACAAAAAAUGAAGGAAAAUUCAGUGGUCUUAUAGAAGCCAAUGAUUCAAUGCGAGUGGCGAAAAUUAUCUAUAUAACGUGUAUUUCUUGCUAAUUGAAACAGCUAGGCUGCUACUUAUAUUACUUUAAUCAUAUGGUGAUCCAAUUCAAUGUAACAAAUGAAUCAUGAAAUUUCUAAUUUCAUUAUUAUUUUAGGACAAGUGAAGUGAUAUAAAACACUCUUUGUGACUAUCAAAUAAGCUGAACAAGCAACCAAAUCAA